CUAAGGUAGCAUAAUCAUUUGUUAUUUAAUUGAUAACUGGAAUGAAAGGUUAAACUAGCUUAUUAGGUUUGUAAAACUAUACAAGAAGUUAAAGUUAAGGUAAGAAUUCUUUAAUUUUCUAGGGGACGAUAAGACCCUAGAAGCUUGACGAAUUGGGUGGUUUGUUUUAGAAAGUUAUUCGUUUUACUGGGGCGGUAAAAAUAAGUAAGCUAUUGUAUAUUUAAAGGAUCCUUAAAAUAAAGAAAAAAUGGAGAAGUUACUCUAGGGAUAA
rnacentral:rRNA from 1 species